rnacentral:rRNA from 1 species
UACGUAGGGGGCAAGCGUUGUCCGGAUUUAUUGGGCGUAAAGAGCGUGUAGGCGGCCUGACAGGUCUGCUGUGAAAACUCGAGGCCCAACCUCGAGAUGUCGGCGGAAACCGUCUGGCUAGAGUCCGGAAGAGGAGAGUGGAAUUCCUGGUGUAGCGGUGAAAUGCGCAGAUAUCAGGAAGAACACCUAUGGCGAAGGCAGCUCUCUGGGACGGUACUGACGCUGAGACGCGAAAGCGUGGGGAGCGAACAGG